AACGCGGAGGAUCCGAGCGUUAUCCGGAAUCAUUGGGUUUAAAGGGUCCGUAGGCGRUSUGAUAAGUCAGAGGUGAAAUCCUGCAGCUCMACUGUAGCAUUGCCUUUGACACUGUUAGACUUGAKUUAUUNUGAAGUAGUUAGAAUGUGUAGUGUAGCGGUGAAAUGCAUAGAUAUUACACAGAAUACCGAUUGCGAAGGCAGAUUACUAACAAUAUACUGACGCUGAGGGACGAAAGCGUGGGUAGCGAACAGGAUUAGAUACCCUGGUAGUCCACGCCGUAAACGAUGGAUACUAGCUGUUCGACCAAYAUUGGUUGGKUGAGUGGCUAAGCGAAAGUGAU
rnacentral:rRNA from 1 species